GACGAACGCUGGCGGCGUGCUUAACACAUGCAAGUCGAACGGAAAGGCCCUGCUUGCAGGGUGCUCGAGUGGCGAACGGGUGAGUAACACGUGGGUGAUCUGCCCCUCACUUUGGGAUAAGCCUGGGGAAAUGGGUCUAUUACCGGAUAGGUGCCCUGUUCAUCGCGAGGGGUGGAAAGUUUUUUCGGUGUAGGAUGAGCUCGCGGCCGAUCGGCUAGUUGGUGGGGUAAUGGCCUACCAAGGCGGGGACGGGUAGCCGGCCGGGGAGGGUGGACGGCCACAUUGGGACUGGGCUACGGCCCAGACUCCUACGGGAGGCAGCAGUGGGGAAUAUUGCACAAUGGGCGCAAGCCGGAUGCAGCGACGCCGCGUGGGGGAUGACGGCCUUCGGGUUGUAAACUCCUUUCGCUAGGGACGAAGCUUUUGUGACGGUACCUAGAUAAGAAGCACCGGCUAACUACGUG
rnacentral:rRNA from 1 species